rnacentral:rRNA from 1 species
AUUGAACGCUGGCGGCAGGCCUAACACAUGCAAGUCGAACGAGUGGCGGACGGGUGAGUAAUGUCUGGGAAACUGCCCGAUGGAGGGGGAUAACUACUGGAAAAGGUAGCUAAUACCGCAUACCAUCGGAUGUGCCCAGAUGGGAUUAGCUAGUUGGUGGGGUAACGGCUCACCUAGGCGACGAUCCCUAGCUGGUCUGAGAGGAUGACCAGCCACACUGGAACUGUGACACGGUCCAGACUCCUACGGGCGACAGCAGGGGGGAAUAGUGCACAAUGGACGCAAGCCUGAUGCAGCCAUGCCGCGUGUAUGAAGAGGGCCUUCGGGUUGUAAGGUACUUUCAGCGAGGAGGCGUUACUCGCAGAAGAAGCACCGGCUAACUCCGUGCCAGCAGCCGCGGUAAUAC